rnacentral:rRNA from 1 species
UCGGGAAUUUUGGGCAAUGGGGGAAACCCUGACCCAGCAACGCCGCGUGAAGGAUGAAGUAUUUCGGUAUGUAAACUUCGAAAGAAUAGGAAGAAUAAAUGACGGUACUAUUUAUAAGGUCCGGCUAACUACGUGCCAGCAGCCGCGGUAAUACGUAGGGACUAAGCGUUGUUCGGAUUUACUGGGCGUAAAGGGCGCGUAGGCGGCAUGACAAGUCACUUGUGAAAUCUCUGGGCUUAACCCAGAACGGCCAAGUGAUACUGUCGCGCUAGAGUGCAGAAGGGGCAAUCGGAAUUCUUGGUGUAGCGGUGAAAUGCGUAGAUAUCAAGAGGAACACCUGAGGUGAAGACGGGUUGCUGGGCUGACACUGACGCUGAGGCGCGAAAGCCAGGGGAGCAAACGGGAUUAGAUACCCAUGUAGUCCCUGAGCGGGCUGGCAAGGCGCAU